AGAGUUUGAUCCUGGCUCAGAAUCAACGCUGGCGGCGUGCCUAACACAUGCAAGUCGAACGAGAAAGUGGAGCAAUCCAUGAGUACAGUGGCGCACGGGUGAGUAACACGUGACUAACCUACCUGGAGUGGGGGAUAACUGAGGGAAACCUUAGCUAAUACCGCAUAAUACCCACGGGUCAAAGGAGCAAUUCGCUCUGG
rnacentral:rRNA from 1 species